rnacentral:rRNA from 1 species
UACAGAGGUCCCAAGCGUUGUUCGGAUUCACUGGGCGUAAAGGGUGCGUAGGUGGCCGGGAAAGUUCGAUGUGAAAGCUCGGAGCUCAACUCCGAAAUGGCAUUGAAUACUAUUCGGCUUGAGGGCCGGAGGGGAGACUGGAAUUCUCGGUGUAGCAGUGAAAUGCGUAGAUAUCGAGAGGAACACCAGUGGCGAAGGCGAGUCUCUGGACGACUCCUGACACUGAGGCACGAAAGCUAGGGGAGCAAACAGG